AUAAAAUAAAAUUAUGAAUAGAGGUACUAAUGAUCACAUGUACCAUAUCUUAAAAUUUUACUGAUGAAAACCACCGGUGGCAGCUUGGGAGGCUGAGACAGGAGGAUCGCAAAUUCAAAGCUAGCCCCAGCAAAGGUGAGGCACUAAGCAACUCACUGAAACCCGGUCUCUAAAUAAAAUCGAAAAUAGGGCUGGGGAUGUGGCUCAGUGGGUUUGAGUGCCCCUGAGUUCAAUCCCCGGAGGGGAAAAAUUGUUUUUUUACUGAUAAGGAAUUCAUUUUAGAAAAUCCUGUGAAGCACUAAGAAUAGUGUCUGGCACCAAGUAAAACUCAGUAAAUUUCAUCAAGUGUUCUUAGAGUUAUUAUUACUUCUCUGUGCUCUCUUAUAAAAUUCUUAUUUAAUGACUUUCCAUUGAGAUCAAUGUGUUUUGUCAUAAAGUCAUUAAAAUUAGCUUUCACAGAAAGUUUUUUUUUUAAAUAAGUGGAAAUGACUAUCUCUAAAUCUGGAGAUUCAGAAGUUCAUUCAAACUAUCUAGCAGUGUUUCCCAACAUUUUCCAUCUGGAAACAACCAUUAAGAGACCAAAAAGAGCAUGAAACGCUGCAUAACUAAAUGCAAAGUUUUUUUGUAUUAAUGAAAGGUUGGAAAAGAGAUUGGAGGAAUGCUCAAAAGGUAGCAAAAUGGGACAUUUUUUCUCAACUUCUGAAAUGUUUGCAUUUUAUUUUAUUUUAAUUUUUUGGUACCAGAGACACUUAAUCACUAAGCCAUAUCCUCAGGCCUUUAAAUUUUUAAAUUUUGAAACAGGGUCUUUCUAAGUUGCUGAGGCUGGCUUUGAACUUGCAAUCUUCCUGCUGUAGCCUCUUGAGUAGCUGGGAUUACAGGUGUGUGCCAGUGUGCCUGGCUAAUAUGGUUGGGUAUUAAUUCUGCAAAUAAAAACCUUGAAGACUACUUGAGUUUCAGAAAGUAGAAGGUAAAAGAAUUGAUGGAUUAUGAUUGUGUUUAUUCAGAGUGGUUCUGGUAGUCCAUGCCAACAAAUAAUGCCAGGGAGAGAAUCUAUGCAUUAUACCUUUUAAUAGUGCCAAUGACAGCUUAGUACUCUAGUUUAAAAUUUAGUGCCUGUAUUAGGAAUUUUUUGUUUUCACAUUUCCGGUAGCAUCCAUCUUAGGGAGAGCUGAUGUCUAUGGAACUAUUUUAAUCUGGUUUUUUAAACCUUCUGCUUUACACUUUUUUUUUUUUUUGGCC
rnacentral:lncRNA from 1 species